rnacentral:rRNA from 1 species
AUUUGAAAUCUCCGAUGCUUGCAUCGGCGAGUUGUAGUUGCGAGAAGCACUUUCUAGGCGGAGGGGCCCUGCCUAAGUUGCUUGGAACGGCACGUCGCAGAGGGUGACAACCCCGUCUGUGGCAGGGCCGGCCGCCCACGAUGUGCUUUCGAAGAGUCGGGUUGUUUGGGAAUGCAGCCCAAAAUGGGUGGUAAACUCCAUCUAAAGCUAAAUACCGGCGUGAGACCGAUAGCGAACAAGUACCGUGAGGGAAAGAUGAAAAGAACUUUGAAAAGAGAGUUAAAAAGUACGUGAAACCGUCAGAAGGGAAACGAAUGGACUCAGCAAUGCUCCCUUCGAGAUUCAGCCGGUCGGCCUGCGCGCGGCUCGGGGUUUGCGGAUCCGAACGGACCGCGGUCCCGGGCGCGUGCCUCGCCACCGUCGCACUUCUCUUGGGCGCGCGUCAGCGUGGGUCGGAACUGGGCGUCGGAGGUGCCGUGGAAGGUAGGUCUGGAGUCUCGGCUCCGGACUGUUACAGCCCGGCUCCCGCGGCUCGGGUCCGACCGAGGACAGUCGCAGCGCGUGCCUCUUGUGGCUAGGGUCCCGUCCUUCCGGCCGGUCGUCGACCGUGGUGGACUGCUUGCAGUGCUCCGCGACUGCUGCCGGUCGUUGGGGCGGUGUUCUCGUACGACGCGCUUGGGACGCUGGCGGUCAUAUGGGUCCAUCCGACCCGUCUUGAAACACGGACCAAGGAGUCUAACAUGUGCGCGAGUCUUUGGGUGAGAGAAACCCCGAGGCGCAAUGAAAGUGAAGGCGACCUCGUGCCGCCGAGGUGAGAUCCGGUCCCCCUUCGGGCGGGGCCGGCGCAUCAUCGACCGACCUAUCCUACCCUUAGGAAGGUUUGAGUAAGA